AUCGAACGCUGGCGGAAUGCUUUACACAUGCAAGUCGAACGGCAGCACGGACUUCGGUCUGGUGGCGAGUGGCGAACGGGUGAGUAAUGUAUCGGAACGUGCCCAGUCGUGGGGGAUAACGUAGUGAACAUUACGCCAAUACCGCAUCCGAUCUAUGGAUGAAAGCGGGGGCUCGCAAGACCUCGCCCGCUUGGAGCGGCCGAUAUCAGAUUAGGUAUGUGGUGGGGUAAAGGCCCACCAAACCAACGAUCUGGAGCUGGGCUGAGAGGACGACCAGCCACACUGGAACGGAGACACGGUCCAGACUCCUACGGGAGGCAGCAGUGGGGAAUUUUGGACAAUGGGCGAAAGCCUGAUCCAGCCAUUCUGCGUGCAGGAUGAAGGCCCUCGGGUUGUAAACUGCUUUUGUACAGAACGAAAAGGUUUCUACUAAUACUAGGAGCUCAUGACGGUACUGUAAGAAUAAGCACCGGCUAACUACGUGCCAGCAGCCGCCGUAA
rnacentral:rRNA from 1 species